GCAGUCGAACGGGCACGUUCCCGACUUGUCGGAAACGUGCUAGUGGCAGACGGCUGAGUAACACGUAAGUGACCUAUCCCGGAGCGGGGGAUAAGCCGGAGAAAUCCGGUCUAAUACCCCGUACGUCCCAGCGAUUGCGGUCGUUGGUAGAAAGGUUGCUGCCUUCGGGUAGUUGCCGCUCCGGGAGGGGCUUGCGGCCUAUCAGGUAGUUGGUGGGGUAAAAGCCUACCAAGCCGUAGACGGGUAACCGGUGUGAGAGCAUGAUCGGUCAGAGGGGGACUGAGACACGGCCCCCACUCCUACGGGAGGCAGCAGCAGGGAAUCUUGCGCAAUGGGCGAAAGCCUGACGCAGCGACACCGCGUGGGGGAUGAAGGCCCUAGGGUUGUAAACCCCUUUUCUCGGGGAAGAGGACGGACGGUACCCGAGGAAUAAGGAUCGGCUAACUACGUGCCAGCAGCCGCGGUAAUACGUAGGAUCCGAGCGUUGUCCGGAUUUACUGGGCGUAAAGGGUGCGUAGGCGGCACGGUAAGUCUCAUGUGAAAUCUCCCGGCUUAACUGGGAGGGGUCAUGGGAAACUGCCAUGCUCGAGGGCAGUA
rnacentral:rRNA from 1 species